AAAAAAAAAAAAAAAAAGCUUUAUUUUCAAAAUUUUAUAUUUAAGACAAGUGACUAGCUUUGACCCAAAAAAUAGUCUAGUAUAUAUAGCCAUGUCCAUGGCCAUUUUUGGACUUAUUUAGAAUUUAAAUAUCAUGUCAUAAUUAGGGUAUUGGCUGUGAAGCAUUAUGUAACAACAGAUAGACUGUUGAAAAAUUACUCUUGAAAUCUCAUACACUUCCAAAGAAAACAAUCUCACAUCCAGUCAAAUCAAAAGGCACUAACGAUGCCUCCGCGUUGAAAGAACACCAAUGAAAAUUUUCCACAAAAGAAAAACCCCCAUGAGGUAGAAUAAAUUGAGCUACAAGGAUAAACCGAUUUAAUAACACAUCAUCUAUGUGACAAUAAUUCAUAGAGAUUGACUCUCAACAAUAUAAAAUUGCAUAUUUUAAGGACCACUGAGAUGCCCCAGCACCGUCUCCGCUAAAAGGAGGAGACAAAGACAAGUCCUAAAAUCUUUGUUCUGAUAAUGAAAGGAAUAAACCACAAUUCAAGGAGUAUAGAGACUCUCACCACCAAAAAUGGACACAAAAUGUGAGUUGAUAUUGAUUAGUGAAUUGUAUGGAGAAAUACGACAGACCACAAAUACAUAUGCGAGAGGUUGAAGGGUCCCAAAAAAUCAAGAGAGAAACUUCACCAGCCAGGAUAUGAAAAACAAUUAACAGCAAAGAUCUUUACUGUGACCCAUUCGCAUUUAAAUAAACCAAUACCCUAUAGGGAUUAAAAAGAGAACAAUCCACAGCAAAAUCUAAAAGCAUGUAUUAUGCACUUCUUAGAUAACAAUGCAACAACCAAGAGGAGCCUUUAAGGAGAAGAGAAUUACCUUCCUUUUGGAGCCUGCAUAAUUUUAACUACCCUCAAGGGCACAAAAUGAAAAAUGGAGCUAUUUGAGCUU
rnacentral:misc_RNA from 1 species